CCUACGGGAGGCAGCAGUGGGGAAUAUUGGGCAAUGGAGGCAACUCUGACCCAGCAACGCCGCGUGAAUGAUGAAGGUCUUCGGAUUGUAAAGUUCUGUGAUUGGGGAUGAACACAAUGACGGUACCCCAAUCCCAAGCCACGGCUAACUACGUGCCAGCAGCCGCGGUAAUACGUAGGUGGCAAGCGUUAUCCGGAAUGACUGGGCGUAAAGGGUGCGUAGGUGGUUUAGUAAGUUGGCGGUGUAAUUCCGGGGCUCAACCUCGGCGCUACCGCUAAAACUAGUAGACUGGAGUGCAGGAGAGGUAAGUGGAAUGCGUGGUGUAGCGGUGGAAUGCGUAGAUAUUA
rnacentral:rRNA from 1 species